rnacentral:rRNA from 1 species
GGGCAGCAUGGUCUUAGCUUGCUAAGGCCGAUGGCGACCGGCGCACGGGUGAGUAACACGUAUCCAACCUGCCGUCUACUCUUGGACAGCCUUCUGAAAGGAAGAUUAAUACAAGAUGGCAUCAUGAGUCCGCAUGUUCACAUGAUUAAAGGUAUUCCGGUAGACGAUGGGGAUGCGUUCCAUUAGAUAGUAGGCGGGGUAACGGCCCACCUAGUCUUCGAUGGAUAGGGGUUCUGAGAGGAAGGUCCCCCACAUUGGAACUGAGACACGGUCCAAACUCCUACGGGAGGCAGCAGUGAGGAAUAUUGGUCAAUGGGCGAGAGCCUGAACCAGCCAAGUAGCGUGAAGGAUGACUGCCCUAUGGGUUGUAAACUUCUUUUAUAAAGGAAUAAAGUCGGGUAUGCAUACCCGUUUGCAUGUACUUUAUGAAUAAGGAUCGGCUAACUCCGUGCCAGCAGCCGCGGUAAUACGGAGGAUCCGAGCGUUAUCCGGAUUUAUUGGGUUUAAAGGGAGCGUAGAUGGAUGUUUAAGUCAGUUGUGAAAGUUUGCGGCUCAACCGUAAAAUUGCAGUUGAUACUGGAUAUCUUGAGUGCAGUUGAGGCAGGCGGAAUUCGUGGUGUAGCGGUGAAAUGCUUAGAUAUCACGAAGAACUCCGAUUGCGAAGGCAGCCUGCUAAGCUGCAACUGACAUUGAGGCUC